UACGUAGGGUGCAAGCGUUGUCCGGAAUUACUGGGCGUAAAGGGCGUGCAGGCGGCUUAUCAAGUCAGAUGUGAAAUCUCCGGGCUUAACCUGGAGAGGUCAUUUGAAACUGAUAAGCUAGAGUUAAGCAGAGGUUAGCGGAAUUCCCGGUGUAGUGGUGAAAUGCGUAGAGAUCGGGAGGAACACCAGAGGCGAAAGCGGCUAACUGGGCUAUAACUGACGCUGAGGCGCGAAGGCUAAGGGAGCAAACAGG
rnacentral:rRNA from 1 species